CUCGUUGUUUUUGCUGAUACAGACUAACCCGGCUAUCACUCUGAAACCUGGAAAACUAAUAACAGAUUUAUCAUUAAUAUUUUUGCAUUAUAUUUAUGAUAAAUGCCCAAGGGACCAAACAAAUAUGAAGAAAAAGUCUGGGGAGAGGAUAAACAGGUUACUCCCAGACAAAGAACAAGCCAUUGCCUCCAAGCAUGUUUCAAAAUCGAUUAGUAUUCACAUGUCAAGGGCCCAUUCAUUUGCAUUGGAGAAGGCAGGAACAGAUUGCUUUGCAUUUUAGCAAACACCAGUGGAGGAAGAAACCAGAAUGGAACUUCAUUCACCACUAGAUGCCAUGUCUGCUCCCCCCCAGCUUGAAUAAACUUUAUUUGGAGGAGGGAAGUAGCCUUCAGAAGAAUCCAUUUCAGAGGUUCAGUGGACAAUAAAAGAGAGAGGCAAAGAACCACAAGUUAUCUUGUCACCUAAGAAGACGAAAGCAUUUUGUCUUUAGAGAGAAAUCCUGACUAGAGGGGUGGUCAGCCAUCUUGCUUGAAGAAGUGUGUGUUUGAAAUUGGAAAACUCUCCAUGGAACAUGUUCAAGUUAACCUUAAUGCUAUUUACUUGGUAUGGUCACAGCCAGUCUCAAUACAGGAAUGUUGUAUGGUUAGGUUACUUACUUCUAUGUGUAUGGUAGUGUUCAGUAACUGUACAAAAUAAAAAUCUCUGAAAGCUGA